rnacentral:rRNA from 1 species
GCUUACGGCCAUACCACCCUGAACACGCCCGAUCUCGUCCGAUCUCGGAAGCUAAGCAGGGUCGGGCCUGGUUAGUACUUGGAUGGGAGACCGCCUGGGAAUACCAGGUGCUGUAAGUUUUC